GUUGCUUAGGGCCUCUUCAAAUUGCUGAGGCUGGCUUUAAAUUCACAAUCCUCCUGCCUCAGCCUCCCGAGCCACUGAGAUUAAAGAUGUGCGCCACUGCUCCUGGCUUGUUCGAAGUUCUUUACAGAGAACAUGGUUUUUGUAAAGGAGGGAGAAGGGAAGGAUGUUUUGUGCUGGUCUACAACAUUUUCAUUGGCAGUGUGUUUUCCCUCUCUCGUAGGCACAAAUAAGAACUACCUGGGAUUCAACAGAGGAUUUUAAAACUCUGGAGGUCGGUACCAUUUGAUGUUUGGAUGUGGUCCACAAGGUGAAGGAGGAGCUCCAUGGAUCCACAGCCUCAUUACCCUUCCACUGUUAAAUGACCGAGAACAUAAAGCCAUUCCCCAGGACUGGCCAAACACUGACCAGCACAGAGUCCCUAGACGUCGGGCAGUGGAGAGGAGUGACCUCACUGGAUGGUGCACUUGCCCCGUACUUGAUCAUCUGAUCUUCAGGACCACACUGUGAGGUAGGUAGCAGCAAACCUGUUUACAGAUGUGAACAUUUAAAACUUCAGCACAGAACAGUUGGUUCUAAACCUCAUCUAUCUCCCUCCAAAAAAACAGAGUAUUUUCACUUGUCGCUGAGAGACUCUUAUGGGGUUCCAUCCCUUCCCCCUUCUAGGGUUCCAUCCCUUGCCUGGAAGUUUCUGGAAUCUUCAAGCAUACAUAGUACCACCCUGGACCCUACUCAACCCUUCCUCCUCCUUCUGUCGCCUCUCAUGGGCAUUGCUUUUGCUAUCUACAAUGUCGUGUGUGUGUGUGUGUGUGUGUGUGUGUGUGUGUGUGUGUUGCUGGGGAUUGAACCCAGGGCCUUAUGCAUGCCUGGCUAGCACUCUACCAACUGAGCUAUAUCCCCAGCCCCUUACUCAUUCUUAAAAGUAAGAUGUGCCUUCCGUCAUUCCUAAUUUCUCUGAAUAACCUUGUUUUGGAUCUAUCUGUCCAUGAAUUGAUGAUUUAAAAGUUAAUUCUAUAUAUGAGUGUUAUCUCUGAAAAUAAGGGCAACUGUAUUACCUGCUAUUUAGACUUCUUAGAUUGAAUCUAUCAUAAAGCAGACUUGAGUAUUCCAGGGUUUCUGAGCAGGCCUGUGCUAACCUAGGCAGACCAUUGAUGGUCUCUGAAGUUUACCACAUUCUCCAUCACCCUUCCAGUGAACCACUGUGAUCUGGGUUUAUAUGCGGCCCACAUUUAUAUGACCUGCAGAAUAUCCCGAUUUAAACAGUUUGAUUGAUAUAGAGUGUACAUGCCAUAAAACUCGUCUAGAUUUAGGGACAAUUUUCAUGAGUUUUACCAAAUUUAUGCAGCUGUGCUGCCAUCACCAAAUUAGAAGACUUCCUUCACCCCAGAAAGUUCUCUCCUGCCUAUAAUCAAUGUUCACUCCCACCUCUACUGCUAGGCAAUGUUUAGCCUGUUUUCUGACCCUGAAGGGAUGCCUU